rnacentral:lncRNA from 1 species
ACUCAAAAUCUUGCAAAAAACCCCAAAAAACCCAGGAAAAAUCAACCCCGAAAUAAUUUAAAUUAAUAAUUCCAAAUUUCACCAUUGGAAAAAAGUGAAUUCCAGAGAAAAUCCCUCAUUAAUCCAUCACCACGACAAAGGAGAUCAAAUUUGGGAGAUAAAUUCUUCCUUUUUUUCCUCCCCACUUUGGGGGAAAAUACCCAAUUUUUAGGGAUUUGGGAAUAAAACUUCCAAAUUUGGGGCAUGAUCGCAGCUCAGCUGGAGUAUUUUUGGGAUGGAUUCCUCGGGAUGGAUUCCUCAGGAUGGAUUCCAUGGGAUGGAUUGUCAGGAUUCCUCGGGAUGGAUUCCAUGGGAUGGAUUCCUCAGGAUGGAUUCCUCAGGAUGGAUUCCUCAGGAUGGAUUCCUCGGGAAGGAUUAUCAGGAUUCCUCAGGAUGGAUUCCUCGGGAUGGAUUCCUCGGGAUGGAUUCCUCGGGAUGGAUCCCUCGGGAUGGAUUAUCAGGAUUCCUCAGGACGGAUUCCUCAGGAUGGAUUCCUCAGGAUGGAUUCCUCAGGAUGGAUUCCUUGGGAAGGAUUAUCAGGAUUCCUCGGGAUGGAUCCCUCGGGAGGGAUUCCUCGGGAGAAGCGCUCAGCACUGCUCGGCCUCCACAAUUCCCUCUUUCUCCUGGCUGGCCGCCUCCACCUCGGCGUAGGAGCUGCGGCGGCCGCGGCUCCGGAAUUUCAUGGCGGG